UGACCCCAUGACAAUGGAGUUUUCUACUAUUGAUGGCCCUCCCAUGGACAGAGUUUGUGAUGAAGACAUAUGUAUCGUGGAGGCAGAUGAAGGCAGUCUCGGGAUGUUUCUAACGUACCAAGACUAUGACAGAAGCAUGAUCAUUUAUUGGCAAAGUGAAGGUGAUAUUUCCGGACCAUGGCGCGAAGAGAAAAGAAUUGUUGUAGGUGACAUGUGUAGAGUUUUUUCUUCCGAAGGGAGACAUGUAUUUGGACAUGAUACUAUUGCAUGUUUCUCAUUGGAUGCCAAAGCAUUGGAGCUCGAGAGGGUAUGUUACAUGAUUCUGGAUGAGGCGUACCCAUAUAGCAAUCUUCCACUACCGUACGCAUUACCCACCGUAGCAUCAGGCCCCAAAGAGACGCAGCAGACCAGAACGAUUGCUGAGGAGAUGGAGGACGCUCAGGAGAUGGAGGAUGACGAGUACCUGUUCUAGGACCUUGAAGUGGAUUUUCAGUUACUAGAAGAGGAGAAUGACAACGAUGACGACUUCUUGUCAGAGCCUACAGUGACUUUUGAGUUAACAGCCGAGGAGACGCAUAAGCAGGUGGCUGCAGCCAUUGGACACUCGAAUGUCUGGAACUCGCACCCCAAGAACUACGGCCCCGGAUCCAGGGUUUGCCGUGUCUGUGGCAACUCACAUGGCCUGAUCCGCAAGUACGGGCUAAUGUGCUGCAGGCAGUGUUUCCGCAGCAACGCCAAGGACAUUGGCUUCAUCAAGUACCGUUAAGAUUGGAAACCUCAAAAGGAAGCAUGGAGUAGGAUGUCAUCGUCAAAGUGUGUUGAUUCAUAAGGACUAUCUGUAUUAUAUAUUAUGUAAUGAACUAAAUGUUUGAAUCAGAGUAACAAACCUUUGAAACUGUGCUGCCGACUUCUGCUUGAGCAUGUGAAUCAGAUAAUUCUGUUGCUA